CCAAUAGCGUAUAUUAAAGUUGUUGCAGUUAAAAAGCUCGUAGUUGAAUUUCGGGGUUAGUAGGUUGGUCAUGCCUCUGGUAUGUACUGGUCUCACUGAUUCCUCCUUCCUGAUGAGCCGUAAUGCCAUUAAUUUGGUGUUGCGGGGAAUUUGGACUGUUACUUUGAAAAAAUUAGAGUGUUUAAAGCAAGCUAACGCUUGAAUACAUUAGCAUGGAAUAAUGAAAUAGGACGUUCGAUCCUAUUUUGUUGGUUUCUAGGAUUGACGUAAUGAUUAAUAGGGAUAGUUGGGGGCAUUAGUAUUCAAUUGUCAGAGGUGAAAUUCUUGGAUUUAUUGAAGACUAACUACUGCGAAAGCAUUUGCCAAGGAUGUUUUCAUUAAUCAAGAACGAAGGUUAGGGGAUCGAAGACGAUCAGAUACCGUCGUAGUCUUAACCAUAAACUAUGCCGACUAGGGAUCGGAUGAUGUUAAUUUUUUAAUGACUCAUUCGGCGCCUUACG
rnacentral:rRNA from 1 species